CCUGAACGCUGGCGGCGUGGCUAAGACAUGCAAGUCGCACGGUUCCCGCAAGGGGACAGUGGCGAACGGGUGAGUAAUGUAUCGCUAACGUACCCUUUAGACCGGGAUAGCCAGGGGAAACUCUGGGUAAUACCGGGAGAUAUUUUUCCUUCGCAUGGAGGGAAACUCAAAGGAGCAAUCCGCUGAAGGAGCGGGCGAUAUCGUAUCAGCUAGUUGGUGAGGUAACGGCUCACCAAGGCGACGAUGUCUAGGGGGUCUGAGAGGAUGAUCCCCACACUGGUACUGAGACACGGACCAGACUCCUACGGGAGGCAGCAGUAAGGAAUAUUGGACAAUGGCCGCAAGGCUGAUCCAGCCAUGCCGCGUGCAGGAUGAAGGUGCUCUGCAUUGUAAACUGC
rnacentral:rRNA from 1 species